rnacentral:rRNA from 1 species
AUUGAACGCUGGCGGCAUGCCUUACACAUGCAAGUCGAACGGCAGCACGGGGGCAACCCUGGUGGCGAGUGGCGAACGGGUGAGUAAUGCAUCGGAACGUGCCCAGUAGUGGGGGAUAACUAGUCGAAAGAUUAGCUAAUACCGCAUACGACCUAUGGGUGAAAGCGGGGGAUUCGCAAGAACCUCGCGCUAUCGGAGCGGCCGAUGUCUGAUUAGCUAGUUGGCGGGGUAAAAGCCCACCAAGGCUUCGAUCAGUAGCUGGUCUGAGAGGACGACCAGCCACACUGGGACUGAGACACGGCCCAGACUCCUACGGGAGGCAGCAGUGGGGAAUUUUGGACAAUGGGCGCAAGCCUGAUCCAGCCAUGCCGCGUGCGGGAAGAAGGCCU